AAUUAAGGUGUGAACUAGCUUGUAAGCCAUUCUGAAGCCUUUAAAAUGCCAGAGUAAUUGUAAAUGAUUGAAUUUGAAAAAUUGCCAUAUUGCUGUUUCUGAAUGCAUUCUUGUCUCUUACAGAACACAUCUGUGGAAUACAUUCUUGUUUAUUUAAAGAUAUAUUUCUAAUGGUAGUAAUAAAUAUCUGAAAUAUUUUGCAUGUGUACUAUGUUGACGAUGUAGCAAAAUGUUGACUUACAAUUAAUUUUAAUUUAGAUGAUACUUAUUCUCUUUCUUAAUGUUGUCUGGGGGGCAUCUUGCCACUAUAUUUUGCUUUGUGGUAGUAAUAUAGUAAUUAUUUAACAAAUUUUAUAUUGAUUGUGUCAUUAUAUGAUUAUAUAGUAAUCAUUCUGAGUAUUUUGUUCCUCAGUGAUUUUUUAAUAAUUCCACAAGGCAUUGAGGCAUUAAAACAGCUAUAAAAUCAUUGCCCACAAAUAGGUAUUACCCAAGUCUUUGAAAAAAAUAGUUUAAAGUACAAUUAACUUUAAGUUGACUUUAAUUUCUUUUAUAGUUGUAUAUGAAGUUAGCUUUUUAAAAAGUUGUGUACCUAAUAUUCAGUCUAGGAAUAUAAAAACAUAUCUCAAAGAUCAAAAAAAAUAAAUGAAAGACAAUUUGGAAUGCAUGCUUUCGCAAGAAUGAAAUAUUAAUCAGUGUUCCUGGUCUUUUGAAACUGUAACCUAAAAUGAAGGCAUUUGUAACAUAACAUAACUAGGCAUUUGUAAUGUUUAACUCCACCAGUAGCAAAUACUGGUUUUGAUUUAGAGUAACCAUCACUCAUUUUCUUUUUUUUUUUUUUCAGGGUGAAGGUUAAUGAUUAUCUAAUGGGAAAAUAUUAGAUUGCUGUAUAUUACUUCCCUGUGAAUUAGUAAUUUAGUAUGAGUCAGUGAGCCUGACACAAUGGUCCACUCUUUUUAAACAGUUUUUGCUUGGGGUUAAUAGAUGCAAGCUAUUGCUCUUGGAAUGAAUUAACCAUGAGAACAAUGUCUAGUCAUUUAUGAUGGAGCAUGAUAAUGGGAGAAAAAAGAAGGUAGACAUGUAUGUGUAACAGGUUCACCAUGCUGAACAGUAAAAAAAAAAUUGUAUUGGGGAAAUAACAAUAAUUUUUUUUUAUAGCCACACCUGCGGCAUAUUGACCCUAGGCUAGGGGUCUAAUUGGAGCUACAACUGCUGGCUACACCACAGCCACAGCAAUGCCAGAUCAGAGCUGCAGCUGUGACCUACACUGCAGCUUCUGGCAAUGCUGGAUCCUUAAUCCUCUGAGCAAGGCCACGGAUCAAUCCUGCAUCCUCAUGGACACUGUGUUGGGUUCUUAACCCAGUGAGCCAAAACAGGAACUCCACAAUGAUACACUCUUAGUAAACUGAAUUACCAUCAUGUGGUUCAACACAUUUUUAUAAGUCACAUAUUUUGAUCGUUAUGCUGAUAAAGAUUUAUAGAUUUUCCCGUUAUUGUCUUUCCCACUCACCCCACUGUUGCUCCUUAUCAUCACUGAGAAUAUAAAGAACUCUUAUAACCCAUCAAGAGAUUUUUUUUUCACCACAGCAUUGUUUCUGGUAGCAGAACUCUAGAUUCAAGGUCUGAGUCCAUCAUGCAGGUAAUGGAUAAAUAUUAUUAAGUGGUCAGUAAUAAUGAACUAGAUAUAUAUACAGUAAGAGGAACAGAUAUUUUAAAAGAUUAUUGAGUGGAAAUAGAAAGAGAUUACUACAAAUAUACAUAUAAUUUGUCAUUAGUAUUGCAUAAACUCAUGAAUGACCCCAAAAUAAUAUUAUAUAUUAUUUGCCAAAGGAGUUCCCGUCGUGGCGCAGUGGUUAACGAAUCCGACUAAGAACCAUGAGGUUGAGGGUUCGGUCCCUGCCCUUGCUCAGUGGGUUAACGAUCCGGCGUUGCCGGGAGCUGUGGUGUAGGUUGCAGACGCGGCUCGGAUCCCGCGUUGCUGUGGCUCUGGCGUAGGCCGGUGGCUACAGCUCUGAUUCAACCCCUAGCCUGGGAACCUCCAUAUGCCGUGGGAGCGGCCCAAGAAAUAGCAACAACAACAACAACAA
ensembl:lncRNA